AGAGUGCCGAAGGACCUAGCGGUGAAGGUGGAGCGAGCAAGAUGGAUUUAAUGUGGCGGAAGGAUAAUAACCCAUAGAGGGCAUUAGACGUGUCCUUAUCCUCAAAAUGGCAGAAGAGGAGAUAGUAUUACUAAGAUGUAAUGCGUCGUGAAGCUUUAAGCGUUUAUCUAUAACUCCUACGUGUGCGGGCGAUAUAGGGAAAGAAAGCAUACUUACA
rnacentral:sRNA from 1 species